CAGAAAUCUUGGCUGUCUGGCAGAAUUGAUGCCUAGAGUAUCGAUAUGUUGAUCUAUGAGGCCCAGAAUGGGCUAGCAUAGCAGAUGUGUGUGGUGGAGGAAAGCAGGUCAAGUGUGUGAGCAGGAAAUAUGAAAAGAUACAAAUGCUGUGGUUAAUAUUAGGCAGUUCUUGGCAUCCAGUGCUAUAUGUUAUCAUGUUCCAAUUACAAAGCAAAGAGUUCACCCUCACAGUGAUUACUUUUAUUCAUUUCCUAGGGUUGUCAUAACAGAUUACCACAAACAGGAUGACUUGAAACAACAGAAAUGUAUUCUUUCAGAGUCUGGAGGCCAGAAGUCUGAAAUGAAGUUGUCAGCAGGAUUGGUUCCUUUUGGAGGCUCUGGAGAAGACUGCUCCUUAUCUCUCUCUGAACUGGUAGUGGCUGCUGGCAAUCCUUGACAUUCUUUGGCUUGUAAAUACAUCGCUUUAAACUCUGUUUCUGUCUUCACAUGGCCUUUCUCUCUGUGUUUUUCCUGUGUCUCUCUGUGUUUCAAAUUUCUCUCUUCUUUCUCUUAUAAAGACACCGCUCAUUGGACUUAGGACCCACCCUAAAUCCAGGAUGAUCUAAUCUCGAGAUUCUUGAUUACAUCUGGAAGGACGCUAUUUCCAAAUAAGAAUCCCUGGGGGCCAGCAGGAAGGGGGCUGUAUACUCCAUGACACAAUUCAGAAAGGAGAAGACCUCAAGAAGAAGACCUUGAGACUGGAUGUCAGAAACAGGAGCUGGCCAGGUGAGCAAGGCUAGAAGUUGAAGAGAAGACAGCUGUUCUGACAUCAAUACCACACGUUCCUUCAUCCCACUGUUCUUUAAGAAGAAGUGACAGACACUUUACCAGGACAACAGAAAGAGGACUGAAUGAGGAAAUAGAAUGUGAGUCCCCAAAAGACUGCCUGUCUGUUGGGUUGUGAUUUUGAAGUGGCUUGAGUAUUACCUGGCAAGACCACAAUAGGUUUUUGAAAGAGACGAGCAGGCUCCCAUUUGUUAAAGCUGUAAGUAGUUUGAAUCAACGUUAGGCUGCCAAAGAUCUGCUCACUUUAGGCUAUACCUAGGGCUUCUGGCUUCAGAAGGUUUCCUUGUUAGGUGAACAGUCUUAAAUAAAUCAUAUAAACAAAUCCUUGCUCAAUGCCCACUCAUUGCAGAGCACUGGUUUUGUCAUUCUGUGGUUGGCAAAGGGAUGAUUCCUGCCUUUGAGAAGUCUAGGGUUUGUCAAGAGUCAUAACGGAUAUUGCAUAAAAUAUUUCAAAGUCAUGAUAACUUCAAAGUAUAUCCCAGCCAGGCCACCAUUACCAUCUGCUAUAACUGCUUUGGUAUACAACUUUAUAAGGGGAGAUUUCUUAGGAUGUUAGCUGGCUUAACUGAAUAUUCUCAUCCAUGGAAGUAGAUGGCUGUGUGUGUGUGUGUGUGUGUGUGUGUGUGUGUGUAUUUUGACAUUCUUGAAUAUCCAAAUCUCUUUCUGAGACAAUUAAGAACAAAGUGACUGAAAUGUUAUGGCAAGUGUCUAAUUUGACUUUUUUUUUUUUUUUUUUUAAGUCCGGCCAUGAAAAAUUUCAAAUGUCAGGGGAAAAAAGUCUGCUUUUAGAUAGCAGCAUUUUCCUUUGGUGAUCUGCCAUAUAAACUCUAUCAGCAACUAUUGGAUUCUUAAAUCUUUCCAAAUGUUAGGUGUUAAGGAAAAUGGGAAAGGUAUUAAACUUGUGCCCAAGGGGAAAUACCAACCAUAAACAUACAAUCAACUAGAAUUAAAAUCUUCAAUUUUAUAUAAUUUAUGUGGAGAUGAGCAACACUAAAAAAAACCAAAAUUUAUUAAAAAGAUGAAACAGAAGUCAUCUGAAACAGCAUGAAACAGAAUGAAGUCAUCUUCAGGCAUUGGAAAAUGUCUUUAGCUUUCAAAGUAGAUAGUCUACCUUUGGGAGCAUUCCUAACAGCACAGGAGUGGAUUAUGAGUCUAGGUAUGAAACUGAGGCCAUGUUGAUUAACCAAACAGAAACGUUUUUCACAAGGAAAACAUUGUAUAUUACAAUGCUUUAGAAAUUUCUUCCAGUUUGUUUUAAGCAGAAAUUCCUCUAGUCAAAUGAAAUUUUAUCUGAAAUCCCAAUUUAUACAGCAGGUAGAAGUCAUGUUUUAGUAAA